GCCCUGAUCCUAGAAGCCCCGUGUGACCAGAGCACCCGGACUCCCGCCCCCAGUUCACCUCCGCAGGACGUGCCGGGACGGCCGGGCCUGGGCCGCGGGCAGGGAAAAAGAAAACUACCAGAGGGAUACUAGGAUCUUCAGGAUCUACAAAACAAAAGAGCACCGGGAAAGCAUAAAAAUAGAAUCUUCAUUUUCUGGAACUACUCAAAACAUUUAUUUUAUCACCUCUGUGUGUGUUCAGCUGAAUACUCACUGUUGCAAGGGAAACUCUAACUAGAUCACCCAUUGUCUGCAGAGAGAUGGGAUUUCAGAUGAGCCCUGGAAAAUCAUCUUACCAUGAGGCUAUAAGCAAUUUUGAAAAUGGAAAGUAGAGCAUAUUUACUACACCUGGUGAGUUUCUAAUUACAAUGGUCUAUAUUCAUCAUUUACACCCAUUUGUCAUUCUAAUUAAUUACUCCAGGCUCAGUUCAAUCCCACUGCUGCAUUCUGAAAUUUCUAUUGACUUAAAAAAAUAUAAUAGUUGCUAUCGAGUAAUAGACAUUUUGGAAUCAGUGGUUUUUAAACAAUCAAGAACUAUUAUAUAUAGUUCAUCUCCAGUGUGGAGUUCAGAUUCCUGCCACUUACAACCAUUUCACCUUUCUUUUUUCUCCAUGAAUACAAAGAAGCUAUUUUGAGCAUUUUAGAAAGCCAUUUAAAAAGUAUGCCUUCAGUCUUAUAAGUCUCUUGCUUAACAUCAUUAUAAGUAUGCACAGAGGUUAUUUUUAUAGUAUAUAUUUUGUUAAUUGCCUUAGAAUAUUAAAGGCUUAUUUGGUAGGUAACAUGUUUGCUAUUGGACAAAUUCAUUCACAGGAAUAUCUCUCAUUCUUGAACUUCAUUUUUUUCCAAUUCUGUCAUAGCACAUUCUUGAUUAAUGUGUUCAGCAAAUUUUAAAUAGAGAUUUAACCAAUGUCAUGAAAAAAAUCAUUCACAAUCAGAUGAUGGAAUUCCUUAGGUUUUGAGUAAUAUGAAGUUCUGGAGAAAAAAACUAAAUUUUUAGCUUGAGUUAACUAAAUCAACAUAUACACUAAAAUCAAGUUGAUUUAAACUGGUCACAUAUAUAUAUGUGUGCCUCCUUCAUGCAUGACAUACUGAUAUUAGCCAAGUAGAUAAAGCAUGUAUAUUGUCACAAAUGAGAUUUCUAACAGCAACUUCAUUGUUUAAUUAGACUAAGGCGGGCUGUUUUAAGUGCUUUCUAUGGAGAAACUGAAUUAAUAAAUUAAUCAUUAUAACAUACUUGUCAGUAAACCCCAUUUUUACCUCCAUUUUAUAGAAAACUGAAGCACAGAGAGGUUAUGUAAUUUCUGAAGAUCACACAGUAACUGUCACAGAUUAGAUCUGACCUCAGGCUAUACAUCCAGAGCCUGCACUCCUAGCCAUCUUUCCCCACUGCCAUCAGGUUUUAACUUUUUAUAUUAUAUUAUGAAAUAUGUAAUGAUUGGUCCUACUUGUAGCCAUCUCCUACCUCUCCCACUGAUCAUUAAAAAACACCUCAAUACCCAAAGCUGAAAGUACACCUCAACACCCAAAAAAUAAAUAACCUGAUUAAAAAAUGGGUGGAGGACCUGAACGGACACUUCUCCAAAGCUGAAAUACAAAUGGCCAAUAGGCACAUGAAAAGAUUCUCCACAUCACUAAAUAUCAGGGAAAUGCAAAUUAAAACCACACUGAGAUAUUGCCUCACACCAAUUAGGAUGGCCAACGUCCAAAGGACAAGGAACAAAUGCUGGUGAGGAUGUGGAGCAAGGGGAACACUCCAACACUGUUGGUGGGAAUGUAAACUGGUGCAAUCGCUGUGGAAAGCAGUAUGGAGGUUCCUCAAAAUACUAAAAAUAGAAAUACCAUGUGACCCAGUAAUUUCACUCCAAAGAAUUUACCUAAAGAAAAUAAUAUCACUGAUUUGAAAAAUAUAUGUAUCC